UACGUAGGGGGCAAGCGUUGUCCGGAAUUACUGGGCGUAAAGCGCGUGUAGGCGGUUGCCCAAGUCGGGUGUGAAAGCCUUGAGCUCAACUCAAGAAAUGCACUCGGUACUGGGUGACUAGAGGACCGGAGAGGAUAGUGGAAUUCCCAGUGUAGUGGUGAAAUACGUAGAGAUUGGGAAGAACACCAGUGGCGAAGGCGGCUAUCUGGACGGUUUCUGACGCUAAGACGCGAAAGCGUGGGGAGCAAACAGG
rnacentral:rRNA from 1 species